UACAGAGGGUGCAAGCGUUAAUCGGAAUUACUGGGCGUAAAGCGUGCGCAGACGGUUACAUAAGUCAGGUGUGAAAGCCCCGGGCUCAACCUGGGAAUUGCAUUUGAGACUGUGUAGCUAGGGUGCGGAAGAGGGAAGCGGAAUUUCCGGUGUAGCGGUGAAAUGCGUAGAUAUCGGAAGGAACACCAGUGGCGAAAGCGGCUUCCUGGUCCAGCACCGACGUUCAGGCACGAAAGCUAGGGGAGCAAACGGG
rnacentral:rRNA from 1 species